AGACUGGGAUAACUUCGGGAAACCGGAGCUAAUACCGGAUAAUAUAUUGAACCGCAUGGUUCAAUAGUGAAAGACGGUUUUGCUGUCACUUAUAGAUGGAUCCGCGCCGCAUUAGCUAGUUGGUAGAGGUAAUGAGCUCCAAGGCUACGACGGGUAGCCGGCCUGAGAGGGUGAUCGGCCACACUGGGACUGUUUUCACACUGGAACUGAGACACGGUCCCGACUCCUACGGGAGGCAGCAGUGGGGAAUUCGCAAUGGGCGAAAGCCUGACGGAGCAACGCCGCGUGAGUGAUGAAGGUCUUCGGAUCGUAAAACUCUGUUAUUAGGGAAGAACAAAUGUGUAAGUAACUAUGCACGUCUUGACGGUACCUAAUCAGAAAGCCACGGCUAAUUCGUGCCAGCAGCCGCGGUAAUACGGAGGGUGCAAGCGUUAAUCGGAAUACUGGGGCGUAAAGCGCGCGUAGGCGGUUUUUUAAGUCUGAUGUGAAAGCCCACGGCUCAACCGUGGAGGGUCAUUGGAAACUGGAAAACUUGAGUGCAGAAGAGAAGAGUGGAAUUCCAUGUGUAGCGGUGAAAUGCGUAGAGAUGUGGAGGAACACCAGUGGCGAAGGCGACUUUCUGGUCUGUAACUGACGCUGAUGUGCGAAAGCGUGGGGAUGCGUGGGGAGCAAACAGGAUUAGAUACCCUUAGUCCACGCCGUAAACGAUGACAUGUUAGCCGUCGGGCAGUAUACUUUCGCUGAAGCUAACGCAUUAAGUACAGUGUCGUAGCUAACGCGGUAAGCGCUGCCGUAGCUAACGCAUUAAGUACCGCCUGGGGAGUACGGUCGCAAGACUUGAACUGGGAGUACGUUCGCAAGAACGAAAACUCUUGGAAAUUGACGGGGCCCGCACAA
rnacentral:rRNA from 1 species